GACGUUCCACCAGGAAUGACACACUUGCUAAUACGUAUUAAUUUUUUUGAGCAAUUAGCUUACAAAUUACAGGGCAAGAAAAGCAUUUUGACAGUCUUCGCCGAGAGUUGCCGCGGUUUCCUGCUUCAACAGUGCUUGGACGGAACCCGGCGCUCGUUCCCCCCACCCCAGCCGGCCGCUCAGAGCCAGCCCUCCGCCAUCUUCUCGCAGCGCCCUCGGACCGCUCCAAGGCCCCCCGCCGCCGCUCCAGCGCCGCGCAGCCGCCGCCAUGACGACCGCGUCCCCCUCGCAGGUGCGCCAGAACUACGACCAGGACUCGGAGGCAGCCAUCAAUCGCCAGAUCAACCUGGAGCUCUACGCCUCCUGCGUCUAAACUUGUCCAUGUCUUACUACUUUGACCGCGAUGAUGUGGCUUUGAAGAACUUCGCCAAAUACGUUCUUCACCAAUCUCAUGAGGAGAGGGAACAUGCUGAGAAACUGAUGAAGCUGCAGAACCAGCGAGGUGGCCGAAUCUUCCUUCAGGAUAUCAAGAAACCAGACCGUGAUGAGUGGGAGAACGGGCUGAAUGCAAUGGAGUGCGCGUUACACUUGGAAAAGAGCGUGAAUCAGUCACUCCCAGAGCUGCACAAACUGGCCACUGAUAAAAACGACCCCCAUUUGUGUGACUUCAUUGAGACUCAUUACCUGAAUGAGCAGGUGAAAUCCAUCAAAGAAUUGGGUGACCAUGUAACCAACCUGCGCAAGAUGGGGGCUCCGGAACCUGGCAUGGCAGAGUAUCUGUUUGACAAGCACACCUUGGGAAACAGUGAUAGUGAGAGCUGAGCCUUAGGCUGUCUUCCCAUAGCCUCAAGGGUGACUUCCUGGUCACUGAGGCGCAGUGCAUGCACGUUGGGGUUACCUAUACCUUUUCUAUAAGUUGUACCAAAACAUCUACUUAACUUCCAUUUGUACCAUUCCUUCAAAUAAAGUAAUUUGGUACCC